rnacentral:tRNA from 1 species
CUUAGCUCAGUUGGAUAGAGCAACGGCCUUCUAAGCCGUAGGUCGCAGGUUCGAAUCCUGCAG